GCCGGAUACAAAAAAACUAAUAAUAAAUGCAUUACAAACAUACCCAGUUCAAAAAAACGACAUUUGUACAUCUCCUAUAUCAAUUUCUAAAAUAGGAAUCAUCUCAUAGAUCAAAACAGGUCAAAAAACAAAAUCCCAGAAAUGAGAAAAUACACCAAUUAUAAUAUCGAAGAUCCACAAAAAAAAAUACGACAAUUUCAGAUUUGUUAUCGUAAUCGACGAUCGAAACGUACCGGAUUUCUCAGCUUAUUGUUCGA
rnacentral:misc_RNA from 1 species